ACGCUAGCUACAGGCUUAACACAUGCAAGUCGAGGGGAAACGACAUCGAAAGCUUGCUUUUGAUGGGCGUCGACCGGCGCACGGGUGAGUAACGCGUAUCCAACCUGCCCAUCACUUGGGGAUAACCUUGCGAAAGUAAGACUAAUACCCAAUGAUAUCUCUAGAAGACAUCUGAAGGAGAUUAAAGAUUUAUCGGUGAUGGAUGGGGAUGCGUCUGAUUAGCUUGUUGGCGGGGUAACGGCCCACCAAGGCGACGAUCAGUAGGGGUUCUGAGAGGAAGGUCCCCCACAUUGGAACUGAGACACGGUCCAAACUCCUACGGGAGGCAGCAGUGAGGAAUAUUGGUCAAUGGGCGAGAGCCUGAACCAGCCAAGUAGCGUGCAGGAUGACGGCCCUAUGGGUUGUAAACUGCUUUUAUAAGGGAAUAAAGUGAGAGUUGUGAGACUUUUUGCAUGUACCUUAUGAAUAAGGACCGGCUAAUUCCGUGCCAGCAGCCGCGGUAAUACGGAAGGUCCGGGCGUUAUCCGGAUUUAUUGGGUUUAAAGGGAGCGUAGGCCGGAGAUUAAGCGUGUUGUGAAAUGUAGACGCUCAACGUCUGCACUGCAGCGCGAACUGGUUUCCUUGAGUACGCACAAAGUGGGUGGAAUUCGUGGUGUAGCGGUGAAAUGCUUAGAUAUCACGAAGAACUCCGAUUGCGAAGGCAGCUCACUGGAGCGCAACUGACGCUGAAGCUCGAAAGUGCGGGUAUCGAACAGGAUUAGAUACCCUGGUAGUCCGCACGGUAAACGAUGGAUGCCCGCUGUUGGCCUGAAUAGGUCAGCGGCCAAGCGAA
rnacentral:rRNA from 1 species